rnacentral:sRNA from 1 species
GGAUGUGAGGGCGAUCUGGCUGCGACAUCUGUCACCCCAUUGAUUGCCAGGGUUGAUUCGACUGAUCUGGCUGGCUAGGCGGGUGUCCCCUUCCUCCCUCAAUGAUCCAUGUUCGUCCCUCCCGAAGCUGCGUGCUCGGUCGAAGAGGACGACCACCCCUGAUAGAGGAGGACCGUUCCUUGGUCAAGGGUAUACGAGUAGCUGUGCUCCCCUGCUAGAACCUCCAAACAAGCUCUCAAAAAGGGCAACAUCCUAUACACCAGGCUUGAACUUUUUUU